rnacentral:rRNA from 1 species
AACGAACGCUGGCGGCAUGCCUAACACAUGCAAGUCGAACGAGACCUUCGGGUCUAGUGGCGCACGGGUGCGUAACGCGUGGGAACCUGCCCUUAGGUUCGGAAUAACUCCCCGAAAGGGGUGCUAAUACCGGAUAAUGUCUUCGGACCAAAGAUUUAUCGCCUUUGGAUGGGCCCGCGUUGGAUUAGCUAGUUGGUAGGGUAAAAGCCUACCAAGGCGACGAUCCAUAGCUGGUCUGAGAGGAUGAUCAGCCACACUGGGACUGAGACACGGCCCAGACUCCUACGGGAGGCAGCAGUGGGGAAUAAUGGACAAUGGGCGAAAGCCUGAUCCAGCAAUGCCGCGUGAGUGAUGAAGGCCUUAGGGUUGUAAAGCUCUUUUACCCGGGAUGAUAAUGACAGUACCGGGAGAAUAAGCUCCGGCUAACUCCGU